ensembl:lncRNA
UGGAGAGGAAAGGAAAGAGAGAUUGAUACCUGUGGAGAGAAAAGGAGAGAGAGUGGGUAACACGAGGAGAGACCGAGGAAACCUGUACUUACGCCGCUGCCUGUGGAGAAAGAGAAAGAGAGUGAGCACCCAGAGAACGAACUGUGUGAACCAGUACUUACUGUGAGCUGCAAUCAGCGAAGAGCCGUUGCCUGUGGAGGAAGAGAAAGAGAGUGAGCACCUCGAGAACGAACUGUGUGAACCAGUACUUACCGUGAGCUGUAUUCAGCGAAGAGGAGGAAGAAGGAGGGCGCUACGGAUACCUAAGACUCAGGCCGGGGCCCGAGUCCCACGCCCCGGAUCCCCGUGGCCCCCUUGCUCCCUGACCUCUUCCCGGCCAUAGCCCAUCUGGAGGGCCGAGUCAGAGUUUAGUUUUAAUUGCCCUUUCCCUAUUCCCCAAGCUAUUUUUAAAUAUUUAAAUAAAGAUUGUUUUAUCACUUACUUGUUCUCGUGUUUGG